rnacentral:tRNA from 2 species
UGGGGCGUAGCCAAGUUGGUAAGGCACAAGACUUUGGAUCUUGCAUACCUAGGUUCGAAUCCUAGCGCCCCAG